rnacentral:sRNA from 1 species
AAAGGGAAGCUUUUAAUAAACACAUAUUUUUCUCUCCCCGAACUUCCCUCCCCCAAAUUCAGGAGUUGGCCGAGGAAAAGAUAUCUCCACCAUCACAGGUCAUCGUGGGAAAGACAUCUCUACUAUUUUGGAUGAAGAAAGAAAAGAAAAUAAACGACCCCAGAGGGCAGCUGCUGCUCGAAGGAAGAAACGCCGGCGAUUAAAUGAUCUGGACAGUGAUAGCAACCUGGAUGAAGAAGAGAGCGAGGAUGAAUUCAAGAUCAGUGAUGGAUCUCAAGAUGAGUUUGUUGUGUCUGAUGAAAACCCAGAUGAAAGUGAAGAAGAUCCGCCAUCUAAUGAUGACAGUGACACUGACUUUUGUAGCCGUAGACUGAGGCGACACCCCUCUCGGCCAAUGAGGCAGAGCAGGCGUUUGCGAAGAAAGACCCCAAAGAAAAAAUAUUCCGAU